CCUACGGGAGGCAGCAGUGAGGAAUAUUGCUCAAUGGACGCAAGUCUGAACCAGCCAUGCCGCGUGCAGGAAGACGGCUCUAUGAGUUGUAAACUGCUUUUGUACGAGGGUAACCGCAGAUACGCAUAUCUCUCUGAAAUGAUCGUACGAAUAAGGAUCGGCUAACUCAGUUCCAGCAGCCGCGGUACUACAGAGGGUUCAAGCGUUAUCCGGAUUUAUUGGGUUUAAAGGGUGCGUAGGCGGUCGGAUAAGUUAGAGGUGAAAUCCCCAGGCUCAACUUAGGAAUUGCCUCUGAUACUGUUCGGCUAGAGAGUAGGUGCGGUAGGCGGAAUGCAUGGUGUAGCGGUGAAAUGCGUAGAGAUCAUACAGAACACCGAUUGCGAAGGCAGCUUACUAAGCUACUUCUGACGCUGAGGCACGAAAGCGUGGGGAGCAAACAGGAUUAGAUACCCGGGUAGUC
rnacentral:rRNA from 1 species